rnacentral:rRNA from 1 species
UACGUAGGGGGCAAGCGUUGUCCGGAAUCAUUGGGCGUAAAGCGCGUGUAGGCGGCCCGGUAAGUCCGCUGUGAAAGUCGGGGGCUCAACCCUGGGAUGCCGGUGGAUACUGUCGGACUAGAGUACGGAAGAGGCGAGUGGAAUUCCCGGUGUAGCGGUGAAAUGCGCAGAUAUCGGGAGGAACACCAAUUGCGAAGGCAGCUCGCUGGGACGUCACUGACGCUGAGACGCGAAAGCGUGGGGAGCAAACAGG